GUGCAAUAAUUAGGCUGGUUGUAGGAUUAUUUGUAGAGCAGCUGUGAGCAGAGCAGUCAGGAGAACAGAGACUGGUGAUUUUGUGAACUCCAGGACACCACUGGUGGUUGCAGCUUAUGCUCACAUGAUAUUGCUGUACUGGCCGGGGUUGUACUUGAACUGUUUGUGUUUCCUAAAACAAAGAAUUAAGUUUGUUAGACAGUGGCACCCCCUAGUGGCUGUAAACAGUAAAACUACAACAGAAGACCUUUGGCACCACACCAUGAACACGUUACUGCAGACACUUAAAUGAAACAAGAUGGUUCAUUAGAAUUGUUAUUUAAUCACAUAAGAUCC